rnacentral:lncRNA from 1 species
AGUGUAAGGAAAAAACGGAAAAAAAAAAGAAUCGAAUCGGCUAGGAAUUAAAUUUUAUUAUUUCCAUUCAUAUUAAUAAUUAUAAUCUAUAAUUAAAUAUUAUGUAAUAUUUUAUACCGUUAUUUUAUUUUAUUUUUUCAGCCUUUUCUUUUAUUUUCCGUUUAUCGCUCAAACGAUAGCAUUGAAAAACAUUAAUUAUUAUAACUACGGCUUAUUCCCAUUUUUAAUGAUUAUUUUGUCUAUAUAUAUAAAAUUAUUAUCCGUAACCUUAUUUUAUGUAAACUUGAUAGGACAUAUGUUUCUACUAUUAAUUGUUCCUGCGUUUUUUGUAAAAAAACACAAUUUGAGGACGUAAGUGUCAAAAAUUUAUAUAUACAUAUAUAUAUAUAUAGAGAGAGAGAGAGAGAGAGAGAGAGCACAAAUUAGAAAAAAAUAAAAUAAUAAAGUAUUACUUCA